UUGCAAGCUAGGCCGGGGGGUUAGCUCUCCCCUGUCACCUUCAACGAGCUUUAGAAGGGGCCGAAGCCGUGCAAGCGGUAUGCUUUGGCAGGUACAGUCUCAUCCGGACUGCUGAUCCUCUGUCCUUGAGGGUCGUCAUCUUCACGAACCGAGUCAGGCCAGGAAUGGAGCAGCUCUAAGUGUUGAUGACGAUGUCUCAAGGGUAGCGGAGGGGAGGAAAGGAUGAGGUUACACUGUGCCUGUGAUUGCAUGCUCAUUGCACGGCGCGCUUGCAC
rnacentral:SRP_RNA from 1 species